rnacentral:lncRNA from 1 species
GGGGGAGUGGAUUUUAAAAGUUUUACCAUCCUUUGGGUGAGUAAUAGGUGACAGUCAUGCAUAGCAUAGCCGAGCCGGGAGAGGGGCAGAAAGCCAGAGUUCCCAGAGUGUUAAUUUUGGUUCAUGAUGAGGCCAAGCCUGGACCUUAUCAGACACCUUUAUCAGAGCAAUCACUAACAAGAUUUCCCUCCAUGGAUUACAGUUGACCGUUGAACAACAUGGAGUUGAACUGCAUGAGGCUGCUCGUAUUUUCUUCUGCCUCUGCCACCCCUGAGACAGCAAGAUCAAUCCUUCCUCCUCCUCCUCCUCCUCAGCCGACUCAAAGACCAUGAGGAUGAAGACCUAUACGAUGAUCCACUUCCAUUUAAUGAAUCAUAAAUAUAUUUUCUCUUCCUUAUAGUUUUCUUAAUAACAUUUUCCUUUCUCUAUCUUUCUUUACGGUAAGAAUAAAUAAUAUAAUUUU